GAUGAACGCUGGCGGCGUGCCUAAUACAUGCAAGUCGAGCGAACAGACGAGGAGCUUGCUCCUCUGACGUUAGCGGCGGACGGGUGAGUAACACGUGGAUAACCUACCUAUAAGACUGGGAUAACUUCGGGAAACCGGAGCUAAUACCGGAUAAUAUAUUGAACCGCAUGGUUCAAUAGUGAAAGACGGUUUUGCUGUCACUUAUAGAUGGAUCCGCGCCGCAUUAGCUAGUUGGUAAGGUAACGGCUUACCAAGGCGACGAUGCGUAGCCGACCUGAGAGGGUGAUCGGCCACACUGGAACUGAGACACGGUCCUGACUCCUACGGGAGGCAGCAGUAGGGAAUCUUCCGCAAUGGGCGAAAGCUUGACGGAGCAACGCCGCGUGAGUGAUGAAGGUCUUCGGAUCGUAAAACUCUGUUAUUAGGGAAGAACAAAUGUGUAAGUAACUAUGCACGUCUUGACGGUACCUAAUCAGAAAGCCACGGCUAACUACGUG
rnacentral:rRNA from 1 species